AUAAAUGUUUUUAAUUCUUUUAUUUAUCUUUAUGCAUUAGAAGUGUAACUCCAGAAAGCAAUAGUGAUAUCUAUAUGCAAAAUAAUACCCUGGAAUAUGAUAAUAAAUUUUGCAAUACAAAAUUUCU